UUCAACAACGGAUCUCUUGGUUCUGGCAUCGAUGAAGAACGCAGCGAAAUGCGAUAAGUAAUGUGAAUUGCAGAAUUCAGUGAAUCAUCGAAUCUUUGAACGCACAUUGCGCCCUUUGGUAUUCCGAAGGGCAUGCCUGUUCGAGCG
rnacentral:rRNA from 1 species